GCGGCGGCGUGGGCAGCAGCUCGAACUUCUUCCAGAUGUCCUCGGACGGCGCGGGCGGCUGCAGCUCGCUGCCCCGCUGCUGCGCCGCCAGGGAGCCGUGGAUGCCUCUACCCAGGGGCUCCAAGACAGCUGGAAAUGAAUUCCACCAAAGCCUCCACACAUUGGUUACAGGUGUGUUCACCUGAUUUAGUUAAACUAGUGCACCCCUUUGUGUUUAAAGAUUGAUGGCCGGUUACAAAUUGAUACUGAUUCAGCUUCAACUUGGUAAGGCUUUAUCCGCACACAACAGUUACAGCCCACAUUGGUAACACUAGUGGAGCUGAACUGGCAACUUUAGGAAAUUUGUUAGAAAAUUCCCCUCAUACUGACAGGACUGAAAGUCAGAAUCCUGUUUGUGAUGUGGUGUGAUCAUACGCAGAGCAAUUAAUUGGGGCAUCACAGAGGCUUAUAGAAAGCAAGGAAUAAGUAAGGUGAGCAGAUGGAUCGCUACCUACGAAAUCCCCUCUUUUCAUAUAAAGUGCAAAGCAAGAAAAGGCAAAUGCAAAAAAUAUGACAGGGAGCAAUACGGUCUCUAAUAAAAUGUUCUUGGAAGUAUUUCA